AGGUACAUGCCCUUGUCCUGCCUCGAAGUUCACUGUCGAACAGUUGCCAUGACAGGCCCUGGAUACCAGGUUUUCUUGUGAUCAGUGAGAAUUCAGAGAGAAGAGAUUCAACUCUGAUCCUGAAGGACUCACAAUCAAUGAGGAGAGAUAGUCACAGUUACAUAGCAGCAUAAUGACAGUCCUCAACGGGUUCUGUGGGCUAACCGGUGAGUCGCCCGCUGCGAAGGAACGUGGACAUUAAUGACUGAGUUGCAUCUUGAAAGGAGGCAGGAGUUCAUCACGUCUCAAAGAAAAGAAGAGGAAGAACCAGAGAGAAGGAGCACUGUGGUCACACGCUGAGAAAAAGCAAAGAAAGGCAGAAAGAAAGAGAGAGAGAGAGGUGAAUACAUUUAGAGUGUGUCUCUGAACAUCCAUUAAAUCUUGGUCCUGAGUUGCGUCCUUGUCAAGUCCUGGGGAAGGACAGGCUGGGGAUGCAAAGGAUGAGAGGACCCCAGAGCAGUGAAUGCUAAGCUGUUUUACAGCAAAAAUAAAAAAGAGUGCUUUCCCGUGACGGCCUGGGGUGGUCCAGGGCUCUUUCUAGGUAGCUAACCUGCCAGCUAGGAAGUUCUCCCUGCGAAGGUGGCACUCAGGAAGAGAUGGGACCAUGAGAUUGAGCCCACUGGGAGCGAGUGGAGAGGUUCCAGGGGAUGCAGCAGGAAGGAGAAGGCUUUUCAGGGACCCAGAUGAGGGACGGUGGGGGGUAAUGGGGGAUGAGCAAUGGGAGGAGAGAAGAGGAAAAUUUCAAGAUAUAUUCCAGAAUUAGAAUUGGCCAGCGGUGCCUGGAAUGUGGGAGACGUCCAGAGAAGGGCCCUAGAUGACUCUUGGGUGCUUGGUCUUAGCAACUGGUGCCUUCACGUGACCUGCAACGGGUCAGAGGGAUGGCAGCAGGGCUGGGCUUAGGGUCAAGUGAGAACCCUGUGACAGCUCAAGGUAAAUUCCACAAAAUUCAUUUGACCUGAACACAGAAUGAAUGAAAAAACGAAGAGAGGUAAGAGUGGAGGGCUGAGGAAAUAACUGGGCAUGAGACUAUGAGGGCAUUUGAGGGCCAGGGAAAGGAGUUUGGACUUUGCUUUGUAAUGAAAAUAAAAAUAAGGCUCUGUGUUGGUUUUUCAUCUA